rnacentral:lncRNA from 1 species
CCUGCAAGAGUAUAAAUUGUAUACAACCCAAAAAAAACUCACCAAUUCUGAACUACAGAAUGACUUGAUCCUCUUCACGGUACGUAGGCAGCUUAAAGUUUUAUUCUAAGUUCAGUCAUAUGAGUUCAAAAAUAUGUAUCGCCCCAAACGUUGUUCGAAUGAAGUAUGAUGGAAUAUAAUACACUUGAUUGAAACUUAAAAAAUUGGGCUUACAUAUAUUCUUUCGUUGAACUGUGUGCCUUAUCAAAGAUUGAUGGUUCAAUGGGGGCAAGCCUCAAUAGCAAAUUGGCAUCUCUGAUAGAUGAAUGUAGUAUUUUGGUAGAAGGCCAAAUCUUCAAGUUGAAGUCUUUAAUGCCAAUUCAAGUUGAAUUCGUCUUGGCUGCUACGCCUUCAGUUUGAAGUAUUCAAGUCCUCCAAGUUUUCAAGUCCGUCGAUUUUCAAGCUCGUUGGUCUUCAAGUUGAAAUGUUUAAGCCCUCUAAGUUUUCAAGUUGAAGUCUUCAAAUCCGCCAAUUUUAAAGUUCAAGUUUGCAAGUCCCCCGUUCUUCAAGUUGAAGUAUUCAAGUAUUGUCGGUCUUCAAGUUGAAGUGUUCAAGCCCUCCAAGGCUUCAAGUUGAAAUUUUCAAGUUGAAGUUUAAAAGUCCACCGCUCUUCAAGUUCAAGCAUCAAAGUCCAUCAAAUUUUCAAUUCCGUCAAAUCUUCAAAUUUGUUAGUCUUUAAGUUGAAAUCUACGAAGUCCACAAGACUUCAAGUUGAAAUUUUCUAAUUUUUAAAUCUUAAGGUGAACAUGUUAGUCCUUUUGCACCUUAAGUUGGUCUCUUCGCAGGUUUGUCCUUAAAAGGAACUAUAAUUUUUCAAUCUUAAUGUGGACGUUGAAGUCCCUUUGCACCUUAAGUUGACCUCUUCGUAGGUUGGGGAUGUGGUAAGUAGAUUUGUCCGUCUAUAUGUUGGUAUUGAUUUAUCCGUCUAUAUGUAUAGAUUUAUUCGUCUAUAUGGUGAUGUGUAUUUGUCCGUCUAUAUGGUGAUGUGAAUUUUUCAUCUAUGUAUUGCAAUGUAUUUGUCCUUCUAUAUGUCGCGACAAAUUUACCCUUCUAUAUGUUGUUAUCGAUUUGAUCAUCUAUCGACGACUUCUCCCUUCUUGGCCUAUAAAAACAAGGAACAAAGAAAAAGGCAAAAGAAAAAGCGCAGAAAGAAAACGAAAUUACCUUGCACUUUGAUGCUCGCAAUUUGAACUCGAAGUAUCUUUGGAGGAAGCUCUUAAAUUGGUGAUAACGAAGAAAAGCAUGCGGUAUAUAUAACUGUCAAAGGGCGGCUGUGUAAUAAUUAUUGCCGGUGUGGUACGGCUACU